GGGGAAUAUUGGACAAUGGGGGAAACCCUGAUCCAGCCAUGCCGCGUGUGUGAAGAAGGCCUUUUGGUUGUAAAGCACUUUAAGCAGUGAAGAAGACUCCAUGGUUAAUACCCAUGGACGAUGACAUUAGCUGCAGAAUAAGCACCGGCUAACUCUGUGCCAGCAGCCGCGGUAAUACAGAGGGUGCAAGCGUUAAUCGGAAUUACUGGGCGUAAAGGGAGCGUAGGUGGCUCUAUAAGUCAGAUGUGAAAUCCCCGGGCUUAACCUGGGAACUGCAUCUGAAACUGUAGAGCUAGAGUAUGUGAGAGGAAGGUAGAAUUCCAGGUGUAGCGGUGAAAUGCGUAGAGAUCUGGAGGAAUACCGAUGGCGAAGGCAGCCUUCUGGCAUAAUACUGACACUGAGGCUCGAAAGCGUGGGUAGCAAACAGGAUUAGAUACCCUGGUAGUCCACGCCGUAAACGAUGUCUACUAGUCGUUGGGUCCCUUGAGGACUUAGUGACGCAGCUAACGCAA
rnacentral:rRNA from 1 species